rnacentral:piRNA from 2 species
UUCAGCAUUAGAGUUUGAUUCUGAUCUUUA